CAGCCGCCGCGGGAAUACGUAGGUGGCGAGCGUUGUCCGGAAUUAUUGGGCGUAAAGGGUACGUAGGUGGCCUUUUAAGCGUAGGGUAUAAGGCAAUGGCUCAACCAUUGUUCGCCCUAUGAACUGGAAGGCUUGAGUGCAGGAGAGGAAAGCGGAAUUCCUAGUGUAGCGGUGGAAUGCAUAGAUAUUAGGAGGAACAUCAGCGGCGAAGGCGGCUUUCUGACUGCAACUGACACUGAGGUACGAAAGCGUGGGGAGCAAACAGGAUUAGAUACCCCAGUAGUCCCUGUCUCUUAUACAC
rnacentral:rRNA from 1 species